rnacentral:misc_RNA from 1 species
GAAAUGCGAUAAGUAAUGUGAAUUGCAGAAUUCAGUGAAUCAUCGAGUCUUUGAACGCACAUUGCGCCCGCCAGUAUUCUGGCGGGCAUGCCUGUUCGAGCGUCAUUACAACCCUCAGGCCCCCGGGCCUGGCGUUGGGGAUCGGCGGAAGCCCCCUGCGGGCACAACGCCGUCCCCCAAAUACAGUGGCGGUCCCGCCGCAGCUUCCAUUGCGUAGUAGCUAACACCUCGCAACUGGAGAGCGGCGCGGCCACGCCGUAAAACACCCAACUUCUGAAUGUUGACCUCGAAUCAGGUAGGAAUACCCGCUGAACUUAAGC